UUGAACCCGAUUACCCGUUAAUUUUAAAAUUAAUUUAAUUGGUUUGGUUCGAGUUCGGACAGCUAAUCGGGUACCCACUACAUGUGCUCACCCUAGUCGCCGCUAUUUUUCUCACCGCCGCCGUCCGUCAUUCACCGGUCGUCUCUCCACUGUUUUCUUGCAACCCCUCUCGAAGUCGUUCUCCGUCGGCCCAGAACCCUAACCCACAGAGAGUGAGCCACUCUUCCUGUGAGGAGCCGUUGUGCUCGCUCACCCCAGAGCCCUAACUCUGUCGUCGUCUCGUUGAUACAAGCUCCUCUGUGCAGCACCGUCGGGCUCCAUCACCCCCUUUGCAGUCGAGCCUCCCUCGUCUCUCUGUUUUCAGCGCCGUGUCGUCCUUCCUUGCAUUUGACAUGGUUAUUGUACUGUGCUUGACAUUUUGAUAAUUCGCCGUCGCCUUGUCGCCGUCGUAUCAUCGCCGCCAUCUCGUCGCGCUCAACCGCUCUCCGUCGUCCAGCUGUCCCUCUCGGAGCCCAGAACCCUAUCCCACAGAGCGAUCCCCUCUCCCUGUGCAGAGCCGUUGUUCUCGCUCACCCGAGAGCCCUAACUCUGUCGUCGUCUCGUUGAUUCAAGCGCAGCGUCAUCGUGCUCCAUCACCCCCUUUGCAGUCGAGAUUUUUGUAGUCAUAUUCCUAUGGCGGAGGGUCCAUCUGUGUGUUGCACUGGGAAAGUGCCAAUCCUUCUCUGAUUAUUCCUACGAGAAGAAAUCAGAAUCUUAGCGAAUAUAGUACAUUGUCAUGCAUGCAGCACACACUACUUGGUGCCAUCGAAGUGAGAGUAAAUAUGGAGAGAUGAGUGCAUCUCACCAUGAUGGGAGAAGAGAUGAGUUUUUCAUUGCUAUGGUGUGAACAAAUCGGUCCCUCCGAUUUGUUUCAUUUUUUAAAUCAACAAUCACAAAUCGGAUGGUCCGAUUUGUGUUUUUAAAAAUAAAAAAAUUUUUACUGUUGAAAUCGGACUGUCCGAUUUCUAUUUCAAAAAAUAAAAAAAUAAUAAAAAAUACAAAACGGACCAUGCGAUUUGUAGUUUUUUUUAUCAAACAAAUCGGACCCUCCGAUUUAUACUUUACUUUUUUUUUCAAACAAUCGGACCGUCCGAUUUGAAUAAAACACCAUAUAAAAAAAAUACCUAAUCUUCCCAUAACAAUGUAUUACACAUAUAUUUAUACAAUAUAAAAAAAAAUUAGCCGGAGAGAUUUAAAUGAGGACUUCCAAAAUACAUUUUUUCGAUAACCAAUCUGAUUUAUAGUUGCUGUAGGUUUUUAGCUACACUGACAGAAGAUUCAGAUAGGACUCGUAUCUUUGGUACCUUAUAAAGCUAUUGUCAUUCAAAUAGAGGAAAAAGAGUUUGCGAGAUAUUUGUAUUCUAAUUUUUAUAUUUUUUAAUAUGUUUUAAUUUAAAAUAAUAUCUUUUACAAUUUGUUUUUAUUUAUUUUCAACGCAAUAUUGAGACUGGUAUUGGUGGGUUAUUGUUACUGUAUGGCUCGGAGUUCAAGCACAGAGUUAUGCACCAUUAUUUGAAUAGUUGGGAUUGUAUUUGAAACGAUUGUUCAUAUAUAUAUGCACCAUUAUUCACGUGGGAGGUGCCCUUAUAUAUAACCCAGCAAGAGUUAUGCUCUCGAAUUUCAAUUUGGGACCCCACCUCCAGCUCCACCUCAAUCUCCAAAUCCUCCGCCUAAGUCUGCUUUUUGAAAGGAGAUGUAGUAUUAAGCGAAUUCUUCUGUGUUGUAUUUUUUUUGUUGGUGAAAUAUAUGCACAAGAAGUAUUAAUUGUCAAAUGAUAUUUUACAUUUUAAUCUCUUUUCAUCCUACAAUAUAGCAUUGCUAGAAUAAUGUGAUCUGUCCAUAGAAGCUAUGUGAUACCUUUUUCUUGUAUAGAUUGGUACUAUAUGGUGCUGUGGUUUAACAAGUUACAGUACUGCUAUUCUUCCAA